AGUGAACGCUGGCGGUAGGCCUAACACAUGCAAGUCGAUCGGCAGCACAGUAAGAGCUUGCUCUUACGGGUGGCGAGUGGCGGACGGGUGAGGAAUACAUCGGAAUCUACUUUUUCGUGGGGGAUAACGUAGGGAAACUUACGCUAAUACCGCAUACGACCUACGGGUGAAAGCAGGGGAUCUUCGGACCUUGCGCGAUUGAAUGAGCCGAUGUCGGAUUUGCUAGUUGGCGGGGUAAAGGCCCACCAAGGCGACGAUCCGUAGCUGGUCUGAGAGGAUCAACACCUACCUUGGAUCUGAGACUCGGCACAGACACCUGGGGGGGGACACAGUCGGGAAUAUUGGACAAUGGGGGAAAGCCUGAUCCAGCCAUACCGCGUGGGUGAAGAAGGCGUUAUGGUUGGAAAGCCCUUAUGUUCGGAAAGAAAAGCAGCAGGUUAAUCCCCCGCUGUUCUGACGGUACCCAAAGAAUAAGCACCGGCUAACUUCGUG
rnacentral:rRNA from 1 species